rnacentral:rRNA from 1 species
UACAGAGGGUGCGAGCGUUAAUCGGAAUGACUGGGCGUAAAGCGCAUGUAGGUGGUUCGAUAAGUCUGAUGUGAAAGCCCUGGGCUUAACCUGGGAAUGGCGUUGGAAACUGUUGAGCUUGAGUCGGACAGAGGGCAGUGGAAUUUCCGGUGUAGCGGUGAAAUGCGUAGAGAUCGGAAAGAACAUCGGUGGCGAAGGCGGCUGCCUGGGUCCAGACUGACACUGAGGUGCGAAAGCGUGGGGAGCAAACAGG